CAGGAGUAUCUAGAAUUAAGACACUGAGUGGGAAGAGAGAUACAAAUAUGUCCAUAGAAAUAUGGAAGGUUUUAAGCCAGAAAAUCCUUAAAUGAAGGUCUGUAGCAGUAUCUCUCCAGAUAUUUAAAAAUACAAUGAUCACCAAAAUAUGCUAUAAAUGUUUAAAAUGGACUCCUAUCGAAAGUUCAGAGGUUAAAGAUGAUGUUGUUUAUGGUACUCCUAGAAAUUGAUUCUUCUUUAUUUUUUCUUUUCGUUGAGUUUAAUUGCCACUAGAAUUAUUUUCAAGUUAAGAAGAUAAGAGGAUUGACUUUUUAAACUUCAAAAUGAACUUCCCUGCUGUGACUGACUAUAUUCCCCAGUAUGGAGAAUUAUGAGGAACCUGUUGAACAGAAAAGUCUCUGACCAUAAUCAAGGUCACACAGUCAGAAGGCAUCCCAGCAGACACUCCACACUAGCCAAUGUGGAUUCAGAGACUGCACCCUUGAUUACUGUGUUGUUUGAUGAUACUAGUGCACCUUCAUGAAUCAGAACUUUCCAUAUAUGGAGGUUAUUCAGCAUGUCCUUUGUGAGUAAUGGUUACAGGUAUAAGGUGCAUACAGGUAGAUGUGAAGAAGGCAGUGGAGGAUAACAGGAAAAUGGAAGAGAAUGAGGAAAUGUAUGGUCCUGUGGAAGAAACACUGGAAUUAAGUUUAAAAACAUCUGAGGAAGAUAGAAAACAUUUUAUCUUUCAAGAUAAAAAAAGAAAAGCUCUUUGCCAACAGAAAACAUAAUAUGCGGACUCUAUGGCUAUUGUUUCUGAAAAAUAUAAGAGAUGAUUACAUCACAUUGUGUAUUCUGUAGGAAAAACACUGUAAUGCUUAUAUGGCUAAUAAUGGAAUGAUCUAAGUCAAUAUAUUGUGCAGUUUUGAGUGACAGAAGAAUUACACCAUUAUUCUUUGUAUUUUGGUUUCUGCACUAAGUUAGUCAUGUUCACUGUUUCAUCAUCAAUUAUCAUUCACUCAUUUUAUAAAAUUUUAGCAUCUGCA
ensembl:lncRNA novel transcript